UUAAGCCACAAUAGGCUGUGGAAAUGUUAGCUAAAUUGAGCUGAGAAUUCCACCCUGGAUUAAGACCAUUCUGUCUAAUGUUUUGUGUUUGCAGAAAAGUAUCCAGUCUUCUACCAGUCUUCUACCAGUUCUACCACCAGUCUUCUACCAGUUC